UCUAUGUACUACUUUUCAGUCUAUUCUCUCCCGGGGUCCUCUUAUUUUAUAUGUACACCUCACUGGUACUUCAUCAACUGAAAGAGCUUCAUAUCAACUGUGACCUUGGAGAUUUCACGACCUCAGUGUGUCCCUGAGAUAAGAAGAGGCCACAGACCCCCAACGCACCCCAAGGAUGAACAGAAGGGUACCCAUGGGCCUGCUGCUAGCUCCUCCACCCAGAGAGCAAACCACACCAGAAUCGCCAGUUCCACUGCUCCUUCAAACAGUGUAAAAUGAAUAAACACCAUUCUGCUCAACUGGGCCUAG